rfam:Canis lupus familiaris chromosome 21, whole genome shotgun sequence.
AGGAGGAACAACCCCAGUGGUGGGGCCAGCUCUGGAGCCCUGGAUUCAGCCCCCGCAGUAACUAAGCAGCUCUCCGUCUGCAGGGCCUGGAGGCUCCGGGCGGGG